rnacentral:rRNA from 1 species
UUGGAGGGCAAGUCUGGUGCCAGCAGCCGCGGUAAUUCCAGCUCCAAUAGCGUAUAUUAAAGUUGUUGCAGUUAAAAAGCUCGUAGUUGAAUUUCGGAAUCAGUACGUUGGUCGUGCCUUUGAUACGUACUGGUAUUACUGAUUUCUACCUUCUGACGAACCAUCAUGUCAUUCAUUUGGUGUGGCGGGGAAUCAGGACUGUUACUUUGAAAAAAUUAGAGUGUUUAAAGCAGGCUCGCGCUUGAAUACAUUAGCAUGGAAUAAUGAAAUAGGACGUUGAUCCUAUUUUGUUGGUUUCUAGGAUUGACGUAAUGAUUAAUAGGGAUAGUUGGGGGCAUUAGUAUUCAAUUGUCAGAGGUGAAAUUCUUGGAUUUAUUGAAGACUAACUACUGCGAAAGCAUUUGCCAAGGAUGUUUUCAUUAAUCAAGAACGAAAGUUAGGGGAUCGAAGACGAUCAGAUACCGUCGUAGUCUUAACCAUAAACUAUGCCGACUAGGGAUCGGAUGAUGUUAUUUUUAAUGACUCAUUCGGCGCCUUACGGGAAAC